rnacentral:rRNA from 1 species
AUUGAACGCUGGCGGCAGGCCUAACACAUGCAAGUCGAGCGAGAGGCGGACGGGUGAGUAAUGUUUGGGAAACUGCACGAUGGAGGGGGAUAACUAAUGGAAACGGUAGCUAAUACCGCAUACCAUCUGAUGUGCCCCGAUGGGAUUAGCUAGUAGGGGGGGUAACGGCUCACCUAGGCGAGCAACCUUAUCUGGUCGGAGAGGACGACCCGCUACACUGGAAGGGAGACACGGUCCAGACUCCUACGGGAGGCAGCAGUGGGUAAUAUUGCAGAAUGGGCGCAAGCCUGAUGCAGCCAUGCCGCGUGUGUGAAGAAGGCCUUCGGGUUGUAAAGUACUUUCAGCGGGGAGGCGUUACCCGCAGAAGAAGCACCGGCUAACUCCGUGCCAGCCGCCGCGGUAAUUC